rnacentral:rRNA from 1 species
UACGAAGGGGACUAGCGUUGUUCGGAAUUACUGGGCGUAAAGCGUGCGUAGACGGUUAUCUAAGUCGGAUGUGAAAGCCCCGGGCUCAACCUGGGAAUUGCAUUCGAGACUGAAUAGCUAGGGUACGGUAGAGGGAAGUGGAAUUUCCGGUGUAGCGGUGAAAUGCGUAGAUAUCGGAAGGAACAUCAGUGGCGAAAGCGACUUCCUGGACCAGUACCGACGUUCAGGCACGAAAGCGUGGGGAGCAAACAGG